rnacentral:rRNA from 1 species
UGGGGCGUAUUGGACAAUGGGCGAAAGCCUGAUCCAGCCAUGCCGCAUGAGUGAAGAAGGCCCUUGGGUUGUAAAGCUCUUUUAGUGAGGAAGAUAAUGACGGUACUCACAGAAGAAGUCCUGGCUAACUCCGUGCCAGCAGCCGCGGUAAUACGGAGAGGGCUAGCGUUAUUCGGAAUUAUUGGGCGUAAAGGGCGCGUAGGCUGGUUAGUAAGUUAAAAGUGAAAUCCCGAGGCUUAACCUUGGAACUGCUUUUAAAACUGCUAACCUAGAGAUUGAAAGAGGAUAGAGGAAUUCCUAGUGUAGAGGUGAAAUUCGUAAAUAUUAGGAGGAACACCAGUGGCGAAGGCGUCUAUCUGGUUCAAAUCUGACGCUGAGGCGCGAAGGCGUGGGGAGCAAGCA